rnacentral:rRNA from 1 species
UCAGGCCUAACACAUGCAAGUCGUACGAGAGUUUUUAACUCUAGUGGCGGACGGGUGAGUAACACGUGAGAAUUUGCCUUUAGGAGGGGGACAACAAUUGGAAACGAAUGCUAAUACCCCAUAUGCUUUCGAGUGAAAUGGAUUUUAUCCGCCUAGAGAGAAGCUCGCGGCUGAUUAGCUUGUUGGUAAGAUAAGAGCUUACCAAGGCGACGAUCAGUAUCUGGUUUGAGAGGACGAUCAGACACACUGGAACUGAGACACGGUCCAGACUCCUACGGGAGGCAGCAGUGGGGAAUUUUCUGCAAAGGGCGAAAGCCU